rnacentral:tRNA from 1 species
GGGGAUGUGGCUCAGUUGGUAGAGUCCUUGCCUAGCGUGCAGAAGACCUUGGGUUCAAUCCCAGCAUUGCAU